rnacentral:rRNA from 4 species
AACCCCGAGCGGUGGAUCACUCGGCUC